GUGAUUCUACGCGAAAAAAGAAGUCGAAAAUAUAGAAUAAAAAUUUUUCGUUCGAGGCUUUGUUUUCGAGAAAAUCGACUUUGAAUUUUCAAGUAAGAUGGAACGUAAACGUCUGGGCUGGCAUAAUCGGAUAUCUAAUUAUUGGGCCAUAUUUUUUCGAAGGAAAUGUAACGUCAGCAGCAUAUUUCGAUUUCUUACAAAACAAAUUACCGGAAUUAUUAGAAGAUGUACCGCUGAGAACUAGAGGAAGUUUAAUUUUUCAACAAGACGGUGCACCGCCACAUUUUAGUCGUCAUGUGAGAGAUUUUUUAAACCAACAUGACCAAGGUUGGAUUGGUCGUGCUAGAACAAUAGAUUGGCUACCACGCUCUCCUGAUUUAACUCUGCUUGAUUUUUAUUUAUGGAGCCAUAUUAAAUCAAUUGUGUAUUCUGAAGAAAUCGCAAGUUGCGAGCAAUUUAAAGAAAAGAUUAUUGUAGCCUUUCAUACUCUAAAACAAUCGAAUACGUUAGAAAGUGUUCAUAGAAAUUUAAUUAGAAGAGCAGAAGUAUGUGUUCUGCAGAAUGGGCAACAUUUUCAGCAAUUUUUGUAAUAAUAAACUUUAUGAUUACUUCAUAUUAUUUCAUUAUGUAUUCCUAAUUUUCCGUUACGGCAAAAACAAAUUUAAACUGCGAUAAUAUUCAUCGAGACAAC
rnacentral:misc_RNA from 1 species